rnacentral:rRNA from 1 species
AUUGAACGCUGGCGGCAGGCCUAACACAUGCAAGUCGAGCGGAUGAAGGGAGCUUGCUCCUGGAUUCAGCGGCGGACGGGUGAGUAAUGCCUAGGAAUCUGCCUGGUAGUGGGGGAUAACGUCCGGAAACGGGCGCUAAUACCGCAUACGUCCUGAGGGAGAAAGUGGGGGAUCUUCGGACUUCACGCUAUCAGAUGAGACUAGGUCGGAUUAGCUAGUUGGUGGGGUAAAGGCCUACCAAGGCGACGAUCCGUAACUGGUCUGAGAGGAUGAUCAGUCACAGUGGAAGUGAGACACGGUCCAGACUCCUACGGGAGGCAGCAGUGGGGAAUAUUGGGCAGUGGGCGAAAGCCUGCUCCAGCCAUGCCGCGUGUGUGAAGAAGGUCUUCGGAUUGUAAAGCACUUUAAGUUGGGAGGAAGGGCAGUACGUUAAUACCUUGCUGUUUUGACGUUACCAACAGAAUAAGCACCGGCUAACUUCGUG